GGGGGGGGGUGGGGGGGUGGUCGCGGGGUUGUUGUGGCUUAUCCUGGGAAUGUAGAGGAAACUGUUGUAAGUGGAGAUGAUUUUUUUGAGUUAGAGCCUUUUAAAGGUGAUGUACUUAUUAAGGAUUCUUAACCCGAGAUGAAGGUUGUUUCUGAUAAACUUGAAAAAGCCAAUGACAGGUUAACUUUUGGGAUUAUGCUGAUUAUUUGAUUACCGAAGGUCCUUUUUUGUCCCGGAUAUCAAAUAGGUUCUUUGCUGUACCGGAACUUCACGGCACAGAGCUUGGAAAAGUGUUCAACUGCUUACGCUUAUUGAAGAAGUUUACUCCAAAGAAUUUUGAGAACAAACCUUUUGGGUGGACAUGUUUUGAGAGAGAAAAAUAGCGAAGUUUGGAAGAAGGUUUCAACAAACUGAGCAGUUUGUAGAUCUUCCUGUUGACCAUCAAAUUUAUGAUAUGAUUGAAGCCAAAAGAACAGACGGGGCUACCGUUAUUGAGAUUAUGUUGAUAUGAACAGGUAUGUGGGAGGCUUGGAAUUGAUAGGUAAAGAAAAAUUUCUCGGCUGUACAAUUUGUUCUCUAGGUUUCGGAUGCAUGUGUAGGCAGAAAACCAUACAAAACUGUAGCUUUUUGAGUUUGGAUUUCUGAUUCUAAUCCCAAGGAGUCAAAUGCAUUUCUAGAUAAUUCGAAAAAUGAUCUUGGUGGAAUAAACAUUUCUACUUUGAAUGUGGGCAAUCUUGAUGUUCCAGACAGAUCAACUGAGGCCUUUCUAGAGUGCAGUCCUUCAACUUCUGAAGUUGAUUUUGCUACCACCGGAAAACAAAUAGCGGGGAGAUAAAUGCUGAACUAUGUCAAGGCUUCCCUGAGGAUGGUCCUUCUGACCAUGAGCUCUUCUGUCAUGACAAGGUGCCAGAGUUUCUCUAUGAGCCAAUGGAUAUUGCUUCUAAUGCAAAACUUAAUUUAGUGAAUACAAAAAUGGAGAUCAAUUCUGCUUCAUCAUAAACAGCUUUGUUGAAGCUACCUGAUUCAUAUCUGCCUUAACUACUGAUAAUGCCUUGAGGGAACAGAGGAUACUUGAGAUGUUGCAGGAUCAUAAAUUCCUUAUAACAACAGAGCAUAAAUGUCUCUUGUGAGUCUUGAGCAUCAAAGGACAAGCACACAGCAACGGACAGGAAGACUACUUUCUGGAUAUUAAACAAGCUUCAACGACGACAUUGCGGAUGUGUGCAUUAAAGCUUCCUGCUGUCAGAAACUGUACCAGCGGGAUCCUAUUGUACUUGUUCUGCAUCCGUGCAUUCAAAGUUUUCCUCCUGAACUACCUGGUGAAAUUCAUGAUAGGCCGAUUUCCUCUCACGCAAAAUUCACAUUCAGGCUUCAUCCAAGUUGAAGAUCAGGGAAUCAAUUGCUAUACUGAAUGGUGUCAUAAAAACUCAGAUUCAUGGGGGGUUCAGAUGGACAGCUGUUAAAGCAGAAGCCAUUGCUGGCCCACAUGAGCUUUCUUACAAUUGAAGCAGCUAUGGAUGCUAUUCCAAUUGAGCUAUUUUUAAAGGUGGUGGGGACUAGUAAAAAAUUUGAUGAUAUGAUUGCAAAGAGCAAGAUGAGUUUGUGUACGUCCGAUCUUCCUGUUGAAGAACACAAACAGCUGAUGGAGACUGCCAUUGAUAAUUGACAUUUUGCAACGAUUGAAGGUGCCUUUCUUCACGAAUGCCUCUGGAAAACCCUAACUUAACCAUAGGAGUGGGCUCACCGCGACAGCUUCAAUACCCUCCACCAUUCAGAUCACAAUAACGUUUCCAAUGAGCAUGUUUUCAAUAAUUUUGAAUUUAAAUUAAACCAGUUAACAAAAUAGCAUAUAUAAGCAUGUAAGCCCACUAAGCUAAUAUUAGAUUGCCAAGCCUUUUAACGUCGCUUGAACUAAGCCAGUACUAAAAGUCUCACUUCUAAAACCCAUAAAACUAAUUUAAAAUUUUAAAUUAGAUUGUAACAAUAACCAACGGAAACAAAUUUACUCAUUGUUUGAAUUGGGAAGCAAACAAACAAGAAAUUUAUUUAAUAUGCAGUUGAAUUUUAAUAAAUACAAAUCAAGACCCGAGAGAGCAAUCCAAUUCACAACAAAGCGAACGAAGUUUCACUGAGCUGCAGCUGCCGGCUGUCAAUAUGGCCAAUAUUGGUAGUUUCUCACGCCACUCAUUAGCUAAUUCUAUGGAUUUUGCCACAAACUCUGCUGACCCUUUCAGCCUUUUUAGCUGCUUUCAUUGCUACAUGAAGACGACACAGUAUUAAUUAUGCUGACCUUGCAGUUGGUUAUAAUCGGCUUAAACGAACGCGCAACUACACAAGGGCUAGCGGAAUUUGCCCCUAAACCAAAGCCCAUCUUUAUGUCCAUUCUUGUUAGCGGCUGGUAGCCUGCUAUUGGUCUAUUGCCUCAUAGGCAUCACUCUAUCUUCGCGCCACCAGCACUGGCACCGCCUCCAGCAGCGCCACUGCCUCGAACCCACUUCAAGAAGUGAUAUUGAAAUUCCAUUAACAUUUAUAAAAUAUUUUAAGCUCCAUCCUCAAUCACAUUUAGCAGCCUUCGUCACAGCUGAAUGUUCCUGCAAUCAUGCCACGCCCCUCUCUGAUUACGCUCCCCAGAGUACGAUUCCAGUAGGUGAACUUCUUUUUGGUCUUCAUGAAUUGGGCAUUCCGUUGUUUUGGUCAUGAUGUUCCAGACUGAUCAACUGAGUCUUGUUAGAGUACAAUCUUUCAACUUCUGAAGUUGAUUUUUUGCUGCCACCGGAAAACAAAAUAGUGGGUGAUAAAUGCUAAACUAUGUCAAGGCUCCCCUGAGGAUGGUCCUCCUGACCAUGAGCUCCUGUGAUGACAAGGUGCCCGAGUUUCUCCAUGAUUUUGAGUACAAAAAUGGUCAUAAAUUCUUCUUCAUCAGAAACUGCUUUGUUGAAGCUAGCUGAUUCUGGAUCAUCUUAUUCAUAUCUGCCUUAACUACUGAUGAUGCCUUGAGGGAACAGAGGGUACAUGAAAGGUUACUGGUGCUCUUUUUCAUUCACUUUAUUGAAGGCUUACCAAGAAAUUAACUCAUUUUUCUUUUCUGUAUUUUCUUUUCUGAAAAAGCUCCUUUUUUUUGGAAAAAAAAAAAUCUGUAAGAUGAUUUAUUCCUCAGAAAAGUAGAGCAUAAACUGCUGCAUAAUUUUUUA